rnacentral:rRNA from 1 species
UACGGAGGGUGCAAGCGUUAUCCGGAUUCACUGGGUUUAAAGGGUGCGUAGGCGGCCUGAUAAGUCAGUGGUGAAAGCUUCCAGCUUAACUGGGAAACUGCCAUUGAAACUGUCAGGCUUGAGUACAAUUGAAGUGGGCGGAAUACAUCAUGUAGCGGUGAAAUGCUUAGAUAUGAUGUAGAACACCGAUUGCGAAGGCAGCUCACUAAACUGUCACUGACGCUGAGGCACGAAAGCGUGGGGAGCAAACAGG